UCCGGUUUGUCACCGGCAGUCUCCCAUGAGUCCCCAACUGAAUGCUGGCAACUAAGGACGAGGGUUGCGCUCGUUGCGGGACUUAACCCAACACCUCACGACACGAGCUGACGACAGCCAUGCACCACCUGUGAACGGCCCCGAAGGACCCCCAUCUCUGGAGGAUUUCCGCCCAUGUCAAACCCAGGUAAGGUUCUUCGCGUUGCAUCGAAUUAAUCCGCAUGCUCCGCCGCUUGUGCGGGCCCCCGUCAAUUCCUUUGAGUUUUAGCCUUGCGGCCGUACUCCCCAGGCGGGGCGCUUAAUGCGUUAGCUGCGGCACAGAGAACCGGAGAGGCUCCCCACACCUAGCGCCCAACGUUUACAGCGUGGACUAC
rnacentral:misc_RNA from 1 species